GGUGGCUCAGUGGUAUAGCACCUGCCUUGCAUGCAUGAGGCCCUGGGUUCAAUUCCUCAGCACCA
rnacentral:tRNA from 1 species